CAUGUCCAACAUAGACCUGGUCAUGGAGUCUGACAUGGGGACAUUUACCCCUUGGCUCUGCAGUUUAGUGGCAGCGAUGCAGCACGAAAGGUGAUGGAAGAAGUGGUCAAACUGUUGGCUCCCAUUAAUACGACCAAACUGGAGACACACGGAGAAGGGACAGAUAUCUCACCGUGGAUGCAGGCAGGCAUACCAGGUGCUAGCCUCCACGUUGCAGACAGUCGGUACUUUUGGUUCCACCACAGUGAAGGUGAUACCAUGACUGUUCAGGACCCUCACGACAUGGACCUGUGCUCAGCAUUGUGGGCCGUGGUUGCUUAUGUCGUGGCAGACCUUCAGGACAUGCUGCCUAGGUAGCAAUGUGAAUGGGAUGACAGGAUGUUCACUGUAAACCACAGCUGGAUCAGUUAAUUCCUAAACACAUGGUCAAAUACAAAUUUCUUUUUUUUUUUUAACUUGCGAUGGAACAGAUUGAGUUAAGAAAUUUUUGUUAAUAAAUUCAAUGUGAAUUGUCCUUGGAUACACAAGUGAGUAGAGGGAGGAUAAAAAAAAAACACUAUUGACCACUAGCAGUUGCAUAUCAUCAUCACAAAUGUUUUAGCUAAAUAACAGUAAACUGACACAUGAACAGAUGUUACAGUCAAAUUGAAGCGUUAGUAAUCAGUUUGUUUUUAAAUGAACACCCAAUAGAUUUACAUGCGGUUGUAGCUCAGGGCAGUGGCAUGAUCAUCUUAAAGUUUGAAGUAACAUAAUAAAGGCUUUUAUGAUCAUGAUACAUAAUGACUUAAGAUUUUUUUAGAAGAGAAGAACCUAUUAUGUGUAGAAUGACUGAUUGAAUGAAUGAUUUUUUUUUCCCAAGUAAAAAGCUGAUUUUCAAAUUACUGAUAAGACCAAGAAAAUUAGUGGACAUUCUCUAGUGCUGUUGUUGUCUUAAUGCCUUAAUAUAAUGUGCUGCAAAAA